rnacentral:rRNA from 1 species
UACGUAGGGCGCAAGCGUUAUCCGGAAUUAUUGGGCGUAAAGAGCUCGUAGGCGGUUUGUCGCGUCGGCCGUGAAAACUUGGGGCUUAACCCCAAGCCUGCGGUCGAUACGGGCAGACUAGAGUUCGGUAGGGGAGACUGGAAUUCCUGGUGUAGCGGUGAAAUGCGCAGAUAUCAGGAGGAACACCGGUGGCGAAGGCGGGUCUCUGGGCCGAUACUGACGCUGAGGAGCGAAAGCGUGGGGAGCGAACAGG